rnacentral:tRNA from 1 species
ACGGGUAUCCAUUAAUGGUAAAUGGUCUGCCUUCCAAGCAGCUAAUAUGGGUUCGAUUCCCAUUACCCGUA